rnacentral:rRNA from 1 species
AUGGAAGAACAGAUAGAGGGAGAGGAGAAGGAGUGGGGAUAUGAUUCAUCUGAUGAGGAUUAUUCAUAUGAUGAAGAUUCUGAUGGGCAAAUGGUUAGGAGGAAGAGCAGGUAUCCAAGAUACAACAAUGGCAUAGAUAUUCCACACUUUUCAUUAACAAUGGUGUUCAGGAGCAAGAAUCAGCUUGUGAAGGCCUUGAAGAGAUAUGGAAUUGUUACCAAGAGGAGCAUUGUGUUCAUGAAAUCAGAGGCAGACAACGUCAGAGCUAAGUGUGGAUGGCAUGGGUGCCCUUGGUUGAUUUAUGGAGCCAAAACCUCAAGGACAAGCAGGUUUCAGAUUAUUACUUUUAAUGAUGAGCAUGAAUGUGCACAAAAUAGAGAGAACAGACUUGUGACAGCCAAGGUUAUUGCUCAGAGAUAUGAGCACUUCAUUUUAGCUAAUCCAAUGUGGAAGAUUGAGAGCAUGAAAGCAACAGUUCUCCAGGAUAUGUUUGCUGAUGUAUCAACUUCCAAGUGCAAGCAUGCAAAGAAGCUUGUCAUAGACAAAUUAAGAGCUGGAAUGAAGAAUGAGCACACCAGGGUUUUUGAUUACUAA